GACAGAGGGGGCAAGCGUUGCUCGGAAUCACUGGGCGUAAAGGGCGCGUAGGCGGGAUGGCAAGUCAGUCGUGAAAUCUCUCGGCUCAACCGAGAAACGUCGGCUGAUACUGCCGUUCUUGAGGGAUGCAGAGGAGACUGGAAUUCCCGGUGUAGCGGUGAAAUGCGUAGAUAUCUGGAGGAACACCGGUGGCGAAGGCGGCAUCCUGGACCACGACUGACGCUGAGUGAGCGAAAGCCAGGGGAGCAAACGGG
rnacentral:rRNA from 1 species